CCUACGGGAGGCAGCAGUGAGGAAUAUUGGUCAAUGGGCGGGAGCCUGAACCAGCCAAGCCGCGUGAGGGAAGAAGGUACAGCGUAUCGUAAACCUCUUUUGUCAGGGAACAAAGGCGGGGACUAGUCCCCGGAUGAGGGUACCUGAAGAAAAAGCAUCGGCUGACUCCGUGCCAGCAGCAGCGGUAAUACGGAGGAUGCGAGCGUUAUCCGGUUUUAUUGGGGUUAAAGGGUGCGAGGGCGGCCUGUGAAGUCAGCGGGAAGAGCCCGGGGCUCAACCCCGGCGAGCCGUUGAAACUGGGGGGCUGGAGUGGGAGAGAAGUAAGCGGAAUGCGCGGUGUAGCGGUGAAAUGCUUAGAUAUCGCGCAGAACCCCGAUGGCGAAGGCAGCGUACCGGCUCCACACUGACGCUGAGGCACGAAAGCGUGGGUAUCGAACAGGAUUAGAUACCCCUGUAGUC
rnacentral:rRNA from 1 species